rnacentral:rRNA from 1 species
CCUACGGGUGGCAGCAGUGAGGAAUAUUUUUCAAUUUCCUUUAUUCUUAACCCGCCCCGUCGCGUGCGGGAAGACGGCCCUACGGGUUGUAAACCUCUUUUGUCAGGGAGCAAGGUGCAGGUCGGGACCUGCUGUGAGAGUACCUGAAGAAAAAGCAUCGGCUAACUCCGUGCCAGCAGCCGCGGUAAUACGGAGGAUGCGAGCGUUAUCCGGAUUUAUUGGGUUUAAAGGGUGCGCAGGCGGAGGCACAAGUCAGCGGUAAAAUCGCGGGGCUCAACCCCGCUCCGCCGUUGAAACUGUGUCCCUUGAGUGCGCGAAGGGUAGGCGGAAUGCGUGGUGUAGCGGUGAAAUGCAUAGAUAUCACGCAGAACUCCGAUCGCGAAGGCAGCCUACCGGCGCGCAACUGACGCUCAUGCACGAAAGCGUGGGUAUCGAACAGGAUUAGAUACCCCUGUAGUC